GUUGUAUGGUUAAGUGACUAAGCGUACACGGUGGAUGCCUUGGCAGUUGGAGGCGAUGAAGGACGUAUUAACUUGCGAUAAGCCUAGUCAAGCUAGUAAAAAGCGCUUGAGRCUAGGAUUUCCGAAUGGGGAAACCCACCUGCUUGCAGGUAUCUUGCACUGAAUACAUAGGUGUAAGAGGCGAACGCGGAGAACUGAAACAUCUAAGUACCCGUAGGAACAGAAAUCAACCGAGAUUCCGGAAGUAGCGGCGAGCGAAACCGGACCAGCCCUUAAGCUUAUUAUGUGUUAGUGGAACAUUCUGGAAAGUUUGACGAUACAGGGUGAUAGUCCCGUACACGAAAAUGCAUYUUAAGUGAAAUCGAGUAGGUCGGAGCACGUGAAACUUUGACUGAAUAUAGGUGG
rnacentral:rRNA from 1 species